GACGAACGCUGGCGGCGUGCUUAACACAUGCAAGUCGAACGGAAAGGCCUGCUUUCCCUUGUGGAUUGCGGGUACUCGAGUGGCGAACGGGUGAGUAACACGUGAGUGAUCUGCCCCCAACUUGGGUAUAAGCCUGGGAAACUGGGUCUAAUUCCCGAUAGGACUGCAGGGUGGUGCCUGUGGUGGAAAACGAUUUUCUAGUGGUUGGGGAUGAGCUCGCGGCCUAUCAGCUUGUUGGUGGGGUAAUGGCCUACCAAGGCGGCGACGGGUAGCCGGCCUGGGAGGGUGGACGGCUACAUUGGGACUGAGAUACGGCCCAGACUCCUACGGGAGGCAGCAGUGGGGAAUAUUGCACAAUGGGCGGAAGCCUGAUGCAGCGACGCCGCGUGGGGGAUGACGGCCUUCGGGUUGUAAACUCCUUUCGACCGCGAGGAAGCCACCUGGUUGGAAGGGUGGUGACGGUAGUGGUAGAAGAAGCACCGGCUAACUACGUG
rnacentral:rRNA from 1 species